UGCCAUCAUUCAGUUGGGCACUCUGGUGGGACUGCCGGUGUUAAACCGGAGGAAGGUGGGGAUGACGUCAAGUCAUCAUGGCCCUUAUGUCCGGGGCUACACACGUGCUACAAUGGUCGGUACAGAGGGUCGCCAACCCGUGAGGGGGAGCAAAUCUCAGAAAACCGGCCUCAGUACAGAUAAGAGUCUGCAACUCGACUCUUUGAAGUUGGAAUCGCUAGUAAUCGCUGAUCAGCAAGCAGCGGUGAAUACGUUCCCGGGCCUUGUACACACCGCCCGUCACACCAUGGGAGCGGGUUGCUCCAGAAGUCGCUACGCCAACCAGCAAUGGAGGCAGGCGCCUAAGGAGUGGCUCGUGACUGGGGUG
rnacentral:rRNA from 1 species